rnacentral:tRNA from 1 species
GCCUUCGUGGUGGGGAGGUCAGCACCCUGGGCCCGUAUUCCAGAGGUCCGUGGUUCGAAUCCCGACGAGGGCA